GACCCGUCUUGAAACACGGACCAAGGAGUCUAACUUGUAUGCGAGUCAAUGGGAUAAUUGAAACCCAUAGGCGUAAUUAACAUAACUUGUACAAAAUGGGAUUACAAACAAUACUAAUCAUAUUGUUUUUCCAUCCCCGGGUAUCUUAAUGUAUGUACUGUGGCCGCAAGGUUGCGUGUACUACAAAGAUAUACCGUGAGCAUACAAGCUGUGACCCGAAAGAUGGUGAACUAUGCCUGAUCAGGUUGAAGUCAGGGGAAACCCUGAUGGAAGACCGUAGCAAUUCUGACGUGCAAAUCGAUUGUCAGAGUUGGGUAUAGGGGCGAAAGACCAAUCGAACCAUCUAGUAGCUGGUUCCCUCCGAAGUUUCCCUCAGGAUAGCUGGAGCAUAGAUAUUUNUGUAAUAAUUCUUAUCUGGUAAAGCGAAUGAUUAGAGGCAUUAGGAUCGAAACGAUCUUAACCUAUUCUCAAACUAUAAAUGGGUACGUUGAAUAACAUUCUUGAAUGAUGUUAUUUGUACUUUAAAAAUAAAAUACACUUGUGUAUUGGUUGUUAGAUUAAUAUGUGCUCAGUGGGCCAAGUUUUGGUAAGCAGAACUGGUGCUGUGGGAUGAACCAAACGUAAUGUUAAGGCGCCCAAAUAAACGACAUAUCAUGGAUACCAUGAAAGGUGUUGAUUGCUGAAGACAGCAGGACGGUGGACAUGGAAGUUGUCAUCCGCUAAGGAGUGUGU
rnacentral:rRNA from 1 species